rnacentral:rRNA from 1 species
UACGUAGGGUGCAAGCGUUAAUCGGAAUUACUGGGCGUAAAGCGUGCGCAGGCGGUUAUGUAAGACAGGUGUGAAAUCCCCGGGCUUAACCUGGGAACUGCAUUUGUGACUGCAUAGCUAGAGUACGGUAGAGGGGGAUGGAAUUCCGCGUGUAGCAGUGAAAUGCGUAGAUAUGCGGGAGGAACACCGAUGGCGAAGGCAAUCCCCCUGGACCUGUACUGACGCUCAUGCACGAAAGCGUGGGGGAGCAAACAGG